rnacentral:rRNA from 1 species
AACGAACGCUGGCGGCAGGCUUAACACAUGCAAGUCGAACGCCCCGCAAGGGGAGUGGCAGACGGGUGAGUAACGCGUGGGAAUCUACCCAGUUCUACGGAACAACAGAGGGGAACUUCUGCUAAUACCGUAUACACCUCCGGGUGAAAGAUUUAUCGCUGAAAGAUUAGCCCGCGUCAGAUUAGCUAGUUGGUGGGGUAACGGCCUACCAAGGCUCCGAUCUGUAGCUGGUCUUAGAGGACGAUCAGCCACACUGGAACUGAGACACGGUCCAGACUCCUACGGGAGGCAGCAGUGGGGAAUAUUGGACAAUGGGGGAAACCCUGAUCCAGCCAUGCCGCGUGAGUGAUGAAGGCCUUCGGGUUGUAAAGCUCUUUUGUCAGGGAAGAUGAUGACUGUACCUGAAGAAUAAGCCCCGGCUAACUUCGUGCCAGCCGCCGCGGUAAAAC